UCCUGACUGACCGAUAGUGAACCAGUACCGUGAGGGAAAGGCGAAAAGAACCCCGGCGAGGGGAGUGAAAAAGAACCUGAAACCGUGUACGUACAAGCAGUGGGAGCACGCUUAGGCGUGUGACUGCGUACCUUUUGUAUAAUGGGUCAGCGACUUAUAUUCUGUAGCAAGGUUAACCGAAUAGGGGAGCCGAAGGGAAACCGAGUCUUAACUGGGCGUUAAGUUGCAGGGUAUAGACCCGAAACCCGGUGAUCUAGCCAUGGGCAGGUUGAAGGUUGGGUAACACUAACUGGAGGACCGAACCGACUAAUGUUGAAAAAUUAGCGGAUGACUUGUGGCUGGGGGUGAAAGGCCAAUCAAACCGGGAGAUAGCUGGUUCUCCCCGAAAGCUAUUUAGGUAGCGCCUCGUGAAUUCAUCUCCGGGGGUAGAGCACUGUUUCGGCAAGGGGGUCAUCCCGACUUACCAACCCGAUGCAAACUGCGAAUACCGGAGAAUGUUAUCACGGGAGACACACGGCGGGUGCUAACGUCCGUCGUGAAGAGGGAAACAACCCAGACCGCCAGCUAAGGUCCCAAAGUCAUGGUUAAGUGGGAAACGAUGUGGGAAGGCCCAGACAGCCAGGAUGUUGGCUUAGAAGCAGCCAUCAUUUAAAGAAAGCGUAAUAGCUCACUGGUCGAGUCGGCCUGCGCGGAAGAUGUAACGGGGCUAAACCAUGCACCGAAGCUGCGGCAGCGACGCUUAUGCGUUGUUGGGUA
rnacentral:rRNA from 2 species